UACGGAGGGGGCGAGCGUUAUUCGGAAUUAUUGGGCGUAAAGGGCGCGUAGGCGGCUUGAUGUGUCAAAGGUGAAAUCCCUCGGCUCAACUGAGGAACUGCCUUUGAAACUGUCUGGCUUGAGGCCGGGAGAGGGUAGCGGAAUUCCCAGUGUAGCGGUGAAAUGCGUAGAUACUGGGAGGAACAUCGGUGGCGAAGGCGGCUACCUGGACCGGUUCUGACGCUGAUGCGCGAAAGCGUGGGUAGCAAACAGG
rnacentral:rRNA from 1 species